rnacentral:rRNA from 1 species
UACGAAGGGGGCUAGCGUUGCUCGGAAUCACUGGGCGUAAAGGGUGCGUAGGCGGGUCUUUAAGUCAGGGGUGAGAUCCUGGAGCUCAACUCCAGAACUGCCUUUGAUACUGAAGAUCUUGAGUUCGGGAGAGGUGAGUGGAACUGCGAGUGUAGAGGUGAAAUUCGUAGAUAUUCGCAAGAACACCAGUGGCGAAGGCGGCUCACUGGCCCGGUACUGACGCUGAGGUGCGAAAGCGUGGGGAGCAAACAGG